UUGGGGGCGCAACGCCCUCGA
rnacentral:snRNA from 1 species